UACGAAGGGGGCUAGCGUUGUUCGGAAUCACUGGGCGUAAAGCGUGCGCAGGCGGUUCGUUGUGUCGGCGGGGAAAGCCCCGGGCUCAACCUGGGAAUGGCCGUUGAAACUGGCGAACUGGAGUGUGGCAGAGGGGGGUGGAAUUCCGCGUGUAGCAGUGAAAUGCGUAGAGAUGCGGAGGAACACCGAUGGCGAAGGCAGCCCCCUGGGCUGACACUGACGCUCAGGCACGAAAGCGUGGGGAGCAAACAGG
rnacentral:rRNA from 1 species